UUUACGGAGAGUUUGAUCCUGGCUCAGAACGAACGCUGGCGGCGUGGAUUAGGCAUGCAAGUCGAACGGAUUUCUUAGCUGUUUCGAGAAAUCAGUGGCGAAAGGGUGAGUAACACGUGGGUAACCUACCCAAAGGAUUGGGACAACCAACCGAAAGGUUGGCUAAUACCGGAUAAGACCACGACUUCGAGAGAAGAUGAGGUCAAAGAUGGGGAUCUGCUUCGGCGGACCUAUCGCCUAUGGAGGGGCCCGCGGCCUAUCAGCUUGUUGGUGAGGUAAUGGCUCACCAAGGCUAUGACGGGUAGCUGGUCUGAGAGGAUGGUCAGCCACAUCGGGACUGAGAUACUGCCCGGACUCCUACGGGAGGCUGCAGUCGAGAAUCUUUCGCAAUGGGGGAAACCCUGACGAAGCGACGCCGCGUGCAGGAUUAAGGCCUUCGGGUUGUAAACUGCUGUCGCCUGGGACGAACAAUGUCCAGGUGAAUAAUCUGGUUAUUCGACGGUACCAGGAAAGGAAGCCACGGCUAACUCUGUGCCAGCAGCCGCGGUAAGACAGAGGUGGCAAGCGUUGUUCGGAUUCAUUGGGUGUAAAGGGUGCGUAGGCGGCUUGGAAAGUCAGAUGUGAAAUACUACAGCUUAACUGUAGAACUGCAUUUGAAACUUCCAGGCUAGAGUGCAGGAGAGGUGAAGGGAAUUCCCGGUGUAAGGGUGAAAUCUGCAGAUAUCGGGAAGAACACCUGUAGCGAAGGCGCUUCACUGGUCUGUUACUGACGCUGAGUGCACGAAGGCGUGGGGAGCGAACGGGAUUAGAUACCCCGGUAGUCCACGCAGUAAACGAUGUUCACUAGGUGUCGGGCGAGUUUCAACUCGUUCGGUGCCGCAGCUAACGCAUUAAGUGAACCACCUGGGGAGUACAGUCGCAAGGCUGAAACUCAAAGGAAUUGACGGGGACCCGCACAAACGGUGGAGCAUGUGGUUUAAUACGACGAUACGCGUGGAACCUCACCCAGGCUUGACAUGUACUAGAAAGCCUUAUGAAAGUAGGGCCUUCCCUCAAGGACUGGUACACAGGUGUUGCAUGGCUGUCGUCAGCUCGUGUCGUGAGAUGUUGGGUUAAGUCCCGCAACGAGCGCAACCCCUAUCCUUAGUUGCCAGCACGAAAGGUGGGCACUCUAAGGAGACUGCUUACGAUAAGUAGGAGGAAGGUGGGGAUGACGUCAAGUCAGUACGGCCCUUACGCCUGGGGCUACACACGUGCUACAAUGGUCGGUACAAAGGGUCGCCAAACCGCGAGGUGGAGCUAAUCCCAAAAAACCGGCCCCAGUUCAGAUCGAAGGCUGCAACUCGCCUUCGUGAAGCUGGAAUCGUUAGUAACCCCGUAUCAGCCACGACGGGGUGAAUACGUUCCCGGGUCUUGUACACACCGCCCGUCAAGUGAUCCGAGCUGGGAGUACCCGAAGUAGUUUGGUUAACCCGCAAGGGAAGCCGGCUGCGAAGGUAAAACUAGUGAGGAGCACUAAGUCGUAACAAGGUAGCCUUACCGGAAGGUGAGGCUGGAUCACCUCCUUUCU
rnacentral:rRNA from 1 species